CCCCGGCAGAUAGCGGGAUCACGCGCUUCCCCUGAAAGGGAAUUGGGUUAAGAUUUCCCGAUCCAGGAUGUGGCGGUUGACGCGACAUUAGGAAGUCCGGAAAAGCCGGCGGGGGCCUCGGGAAGAGUUAUCUUUUCUGCUUAACGGCCUGCCAACCCUGGAAACGGUUCAGCCGGAGGUAGGGUCCAGUGGCCGGAAGAGCACCGCACGUCGCGCGGUGUCCGG
rnacentral:ncRNA from 1 species